rnacentral:lncRNA from 1 species
CGGGCAUGACGUAAAACAACGAAUCAAAGAAUUCAACUUUAUUUAUAAGUUAUAACUAUAAAUACAGGGCAAUGCUGUCAAUUAAAAAAGUUGUAUAUCAAAAAAUUAUGCAGGACAGUAAUUGUAUGUACCUGUGAUACAUAAAUUUCUUAGUUCAAACAAAAGUUUGAAAUGUUUCAAGAACAAAAGCAAAAAGCAGCACCAAUCAGUUUAUCAUAGAAUCUAUUUGCAUUUGUAUCCUUUUGUGCAGAUGUAAAUUAAAUCUGUAUAGUUGACCAGAGUGUUGACAAGUUAAUUGUCUAAUGUCAAAGCAUAAUAGAAAUUAUUUGGUUAGUCAGUUUAUUAGAUUGUAGAUUUGUUUCAGAAUGUAUGCAAGC